rnacentral:misc_RNA from 1 species
AAGUCGUAACAAGGUCUCCGUUGGUGAACCAGCGGAGGGAUCAUUACAGAGUUGCAAAACUCCCACAAACCAUCGCGAAUCUUACCCGUACGGUUGCCUCGGCGCUGGCGGUCCUUCGGGACCCUCGGGCCUCCCGCUCGCGGGAGGCUGCCCGCCGGAGUGCCGAAACCAAACUCUUGAUAUUUUAUGUCUCUCUGAGUAAACUUUUAAAUAAGUCAAAACUUUCAACAACGGAUCUCUUGGUUCUG